rnacentral:rRNA from 1 species
CUACGGGGGGCUCCAGGCGGGAAACCUUUACAAUGCACGAAAGUGUGAUAAGGGGAUUCAGAGUGCUCAUGUUAUGCAUGAGCUUUUGCCAAGAGUAAAUAUCUUGGCGAAUAAGUGAUGGGAAAGACUGGUGCCAGCCGCCGCGGUAACACCAGCGUCACAAGUGGGAGCCAUGUUUAUUGGGUCUAAAGCGUUCGUAGCCGGCUUAGUAAGUUCUUUGUGAAAUCGUGUUGCUCAACAUCACGGCGUGCAAGGAAUACUGCUUUGCUAGGGACUGGGAGAGGUAAGAGGUAUUCCAGGGCUAGCGGUAAAAUGUUAUGAUCCUUGGAGGACCACCAAUGGCGAAGGCAUCUUACUAGAACAGGUCCGACGGUCAGGAACGAAAGCUAGGGGAUCAAAACGGAUUAGAUACCCUUGUAGUC